rnacentral:rRNA from 1 species
AACUGGAGAGUUUGAUCCUGGCUCAGAAUGAACGCUGGCGGCGUGCCUUACACAUGCAAGUCGAGCGAGGCGGCCCGCAAGGGUCAGUCGAGCGGCGAACGGGUGAGUAACGCGUGGAUAACCUGCCCAGAGGUGGGGGAUAACCCGGGGAAACUCGGGCUAAUACCGCAUGAUACCGAGAGGUCAAAGGGGGCUCGCAAGGGCUCUCGCCAUUGGAGGGGUCCGCGUCCGAUUAGCUAGUUGGUAGGGUAAUGGCCUACCAAGGCGACGAUCGGUAGCCGGCCUGAGAGGGUGAUCGGCCACACUGGAACUGAGACACGGUCCAGACUCCUACGGGAGGCAGCAGUGGGGAAUUUUGCGCAAUGGGCUAACGCCUGACGCAGCAACGCCGCGUGGAGGAUGAAGGUCUUUGGAUUGUAAACUCCUGUCAGCAGGGAAAAAGCGAAUCGGCCUAACACGCCGGUGAGCUGAUUGUACCUGCAGAGGAAGCCCCGGCUAACUCUGUGCCAGCAGCCGCGGUAAUACAGAGGGGGCAAGCGUUAUUCGGAAUUAUUGGGCGUAAAGGGCGCGUAGGCGGCUUCGCAAGUGGAUGGUGAAAUCCCUCGGCUUAACCGAGGAACUGCCAUCCAAACUGCGUUGCUUGAGGCCGGGAGAGGCGAGUGGAAUUCCCAGUGUAGCGGUGAAAUGCGUAGAUAUUGGGAGGAACACCAGUGGCGAAGGCGGCUCGCUGGACCGGUUCUGACGCUGAGGCGCGAAAGCGUGGGGAGCAAACGGGAUUAGAUACCCCGGUAGUCCACGCUGUAAACGAUGAGUGCUUGGUGUAGCGGGUAUCGAC